UACAGAGGUCUCAAGCGUUGUUCGGAUUCAUUGGGCGUAAAGGGUGCGUAGGCGGCGCGGUAAGUCGGGUGUGAAAUCUUGGAGCUUAACUCCGAAACUGCAUUCGAUACUGCCGUGCUUGAGGACUGGAGAGGAGACUGGAAUUUACGGUGUAGCGGUGAAAUGCGUAGAUAUCGUAAGGAAGACCAGUGGCGAAGGCGGCAUCCUGGACCGGCAUUGACGCUGAGGCGCGAAAGCCAGGGGAGCAAACGGG
rnacentral:rRNA from 1 species